rnacentral:miRNA from 1 species
ACAGAAAAGAUUGCUUCG